rnacentral:miRNA from 1 species
CUCCAGGGAGACAGUGUUCGAGGCCCCUGCCAUGGCCUCCCUGCCCGCCUCUCUGCAG